rnacentral:rRNA from 1 species
GACGAACGCUGGCGGCGUGCUUAACACAUGCAAGUCGAACGGAAAGGCCCCUUUGGGGGUACUCGAGUGGCGAACGGGUGAGUAACACGUGAGUAACCUGCCCUUGACUUCGGGAUAACUUCAGGAAACUGGGGCUAAUACCGGAUAGGAAUCCUUGCUGCAUGGUGGGGGUUGGAAAGCUUCGGCGGUUUUGGAUGGACUCGCGGCUUAUCAGCUUGUUGGUGGGGUAGUGGCUUACCAAGGCUUUGACGGGUAGCCGGCCUGAGAGGGCGACCGGCCACAUUGGGACUGAGAUACGGCCCAGACUCCUACGGGAGGCAGCAGGGGGGAAUAUUGCACAAUGGGCGGAGGCCUGAUGCAGCAACGCCGCGGGCGGGAUGACGGCCUUCGGGUUGUAAACCGCUUUCAGCAGGGGCGAAGCUUGUGGUGACGGUACCUGCAGAAGAAGCACCGGCUAACUACGUG